AAACUGUAUUUCCUGUCAGAGAUGCUCAGUGAUCCUCAGAGCAGAGAGAGUGUCCCAACUGAGACAUUCAAACCUCCCUGCAGAGCUCAUGUCUUUCCUCACCAUCAUGCGAGUGUGAGAUUGCUCUGGAUUCUGGUUAUGUGGCCUGCAGCACCUAUAAGAACAAGCUCGUCCAGUGUGCCUGCAUUCCAGCUUCACAGAAAAGAACAUCAGACACCAGCGAGGGAGGAUAAGAAAGACAGACACAACAACAUUGUCAUCCCCUAUGUAGCCGGUGUAUCAGAAA